rnacentral:sRNA from 1 species
GUUGGGCGUGGAGGCCCACACCUGUAAUCCCAGCAACUCGGGGGACUGAGGUUGGAAGAUUGCCAGUUGAAGGCCAGCCUUGGCAACCUAGCAAGAACUUGUCUCAA